rnacentral:rRNA from 1 species
CCUACGGGUGGCAGCAGUGGGGAAUAUUGCACAAUGGGCGAAACCCUGAUGCAGCGACGCCGCGUGAGUGAGGAAGUAUUUCGGUAUGUAAAGCUCUAUCAGCAGGGAAGAAAAUGACGGUACCUGACUAAGAAUCCGCGGCUAACUACGUGCCAGCAGCCGCGGUAAUACGUAGGGGGCAAGCGUUAUCCGGAUUUACUGGGUGUAAAGGGGGCGUAGACGGCUAAUCAAGUCAGAAGUGAAAACCCAGGGCUCAACUUUGGGACUGCUUUUGAAACUGCGUGUCUCGAGUGCAGGAGAGGUAGGCGGAAUUCCUGGUGUAGCGGUGAAAUGCGUAGAUAUUAGGAGGAACACCAGUGGCGAAGGCGGCUUACUGGACUGUAACUGACGUUGAGGCUCGAAAGCGUGGGGAGCAAACAGGAUUAGAUACCCGAGUAGUC